UUUUUUUCUUUUGGUAAAGAGGUCUGGGCAAAGUUUGGACAGCCUUUCUGGUCUCUAGACGAUGGUUGUCGCAUCUGGACAAGAGUUUUUGCACACUUGAUGUUUUUGCCUCUCACAGAAGUAUCAUUAUGUUCUAUUUACAGGGUGGAAGUUUGUAAUACGCGAUAUUCAUUUUCAGGAGCUUCGUGAAACCUUGGAUGGAUGGGAUUGCCUAAUCAACACGUAUUGACAACUGUUAUUUCUUGUUUUUUUGUCCUUUUUUUUAUUUUUGUUAUUUAUUUAUUUCUUUAUUUAUUUAUUUGUAGAAGUGAGGCAUGUCGCAUACUUCAAAGAGGAUUCCCAGCGGUGUUGUCCAUGCACUGCAGAAAACUCUGUUGUACCAACAAGAGAUAGGUGGCCAUCAAACAACAUAUGUCGCGUAUAACAUGGUAUUUGCUCAUGGACUGCCUUCUUUGAUGGUUGUCCAUUUUUUUAUACUGCGUAUGCACU
rnacentral:lncRNA from 1 species